rnacentral:lncRNA from 10 species
UGGACCCAUAGGUUUGGUCACCACUGAUGGGACACUCCCUGCCCCAGCUUGCCAUAAGCUCUUCUCUCACGUCCUGCUCCUGGGUAAGGUGGCACCUAUCCAGGUCUUUGACACUGAAGGGCAGUGCUUCCAAAUUCACUUCCUCUAGCCUCUCAUUUAUUCUUGCAAACCAUAGAUAUGGCUUGAAUAAAUAUUGAGCCAGUCAUUGUGCUGCUAUGAAUAAGACACAAUUCCACCCCUCAAGGAUCUGGUGCCUGGCAACAGUAUGGGAGGCAGAGAGGCCGGUAGAGGCUGUUGUGGUCUUCCAGGAGGAAUUGUGCUGGUGGUGGGGAAGCACCUUUGGUGACUGGCAGUGCCGGCCAUUGCAAGGUCUCAGCCUCAGGCAGCUUUUGGUCUAGUAAGUGCUCCUUUCCCAAUCACUGACCACGUGCCGACCCCUACAUUGGUUAACACUGAAUCUGCACAGCAGCCCUGGGAGUACCUGUAGCCACCUGACAGACUCUAGAACAGUGCUACCCAACAGAAAUAUAGUGUGAGCCACUUAUGGAGUUUAAAAUUUUCCAGGCACCAGAGUUCGAAAGCUAUAAAAAGAAUGCAAGCUCCAUGAAGGAAGAGAUUUUUGUCUGUUUUGUUCAAUGUAUCUCCAGCUCCUGGAACACAGUACAUGCUCAAUAAACAUUUGUUAAAUGACUGACAUUGUUGAAACUGAGGCCUGGACCUGAAGGUUUCAUCCCAAGACUAC